UACGUAGGGAGCAAGCGUUGUCCGGAAUCAUUGGGCGUAAAGCGUGCGUAGGUGGCUUCGUAAGUCCGUUGUGAAAGUCAAAGGCUCAACCUUUGAAAGCCGAUGGAUACUGCGGAGCUAGAGUACGGAAGAGGCGAGUGGAAUUCCUGGUGUAGCGGUGGAAUGCGCAGAUAUCAGGAGGAACACCAAUAGCGAAGGCAGCUCGCUGGGACGUUACUGACACUGAGACGCGAAAGCGUGGGGAGCGAACAGG
rnacentral:rRNA from 1 species